GAUCAUAUGCUUGUCUCAAAGCUUAAGCCAUGCAAGUCUAAGUUCAGGCUUGUUCCUUUCGGGGAGCGAGCCGAAACUGCGAACGGCUCAUUNAGUCAGAUAAGGUUCCUUGGCUAAAAGCGGGUCGGUUUUAAUGGAUAACUGUGGUAAUUCUAGAGCUAAUACAUGCAACGCACCGUGGUCCCCGUAGUCUUCUCGUCUCGGGGAAACGGCAUUUAUUCUCUGGACCAGAUCGCCCUAGCCUGCGAAGCUACCGUCAAAAGUAGCGACGGGGCGAAGCGACAAGUGUUGAAAUCCGAAUAACUGUGCCGAUCGCGGGGUCUUUCCGGGCCCCCGACGACUUUGCCAUGAAGUGUCUGUCCCAUCAAUUGGCGAUGGUCGGCGACCUGCCUACCACGGUGUUGACGGGUAACGGGGAAUCAGGGUUCGAUUCCGGAGAGGGAGCCUGCGAAACGGCUACCACCUCCAAGGAGGGCAGCAGGCGCGCAACUUACCCAAUCCCGACACGGGGAGGUAGUGACGAAAAAUAACGUGGCGGGGCCCUUUCGNNNUGGUCGCCGCGGGCGGAAUGAGCGCAA
rnacentral:rRNA from 1 species